GAUGAACGCUGGCGGCGUGCCUAAUACAUGCAAGUCGAGCGAACAGACGAGGAGCUUGCUCCUCUGACGUUAGCGGCGGACGGGUGAGUAACACGUGGAUAACCUACCUAUAAGACUGGGAUAACUUCGGGAAACCGGAGCUAAUACCGGAUAAUAUAUUGAACCGCAUGGUUCAAUAGUGAAAGACGGUUUUGCUGUCACUUAUAGAUGGAUCCGCGCCGCAUUAGCUAGUUGGUAAGGUAACGGCUUACCAAGGCAACGAUGCGUAGCCGACCUGAGAGCGUGAUCCGCCACACUGGAACUGAGACACGGUCCAGACUCCUACGGGAGGCAGCAGUAGGGAAUCUUCCGCAAUGGGCGAAAGCUUGACGGAGCAACGCCGCGUGAGUGAUGAAGGUCUUCGGAUCGUAAAACUCUGUUAUUAGGGAAGAACAAAUGUGUAAGUAACUAUGCACGUCUUGACGGUACCUAAUCAGAAAGCCACGGCUAACUACGUG
rnacentral:rRNA from 1 species